rnacentral:misc_RNA from 1 species
UUUCCGUAGGUGAACCUGCGGAAGGAUCAUUGUCGAAACCUGCCCAGCAGAACGACCCGCGAACUUGUAUAAACAACCGGGGGCGGGGGGCGUUCUCGCCCCGUGCCCCCGAACGGCGGGGAGACACUCGUGCCUUCUUGCCGAACAACGAACCCCGGCGCGGUCUGCGCCAAGGAACUUCAACUAAAGAGUGCCUCCGGUCGCCUCGGAAACGGCGUGCGUGCCGGGGGCGAAUCUUGUGCAAAACCAUAACGACUCUCGGCAACGGAUAUCUCGGCUCUCACAUCGCUGAAGAACGCAGC